CUCGCUCCUCUGACACAUCGGGAGCUCCUGUGUGCAGGGCCCUGUCUCCCACCUCGGGCUGAGGCUUCUAACGGCAGGGCGUCUCUUCCCUCCGACUAGGGCACCUGAAGGGCUAAGUGUUCCAAGACAGCAGUGUCAGCAAAGGAUGCGCAGAUUUGAGGAGUGGGACCGGCAGAGCUGGAUGAAACCUGACUAUGCUGAAGGGGAAAUGGAGACCCCGGGAGGGGCAGGGACCUGCUGAGUGCCUCCCCAGGCAGUAGCUGACCUGGACCGCAUCCUUGUACUCCUGCUGAGAGAUCCUGACUAAUACACCAAGACCCAGGGCUGCAUGCCCAGGACUCAGGAAGAGUCUCGAAGAAUCCUCUGCACACAAGAACACUGCUAUCCGCCAAAGCUGAUGUCAGCUAUUCCCUGCAGACUGGCCUGGUCCAGCAGAGCCAGCUCUGCUAAACUACCAAAGGCAGGAAGAAAAUGAGCCACCA
rnacentral:lncRNA from 1 species